GGUGACAGCAGCCGCGCACAUUCUGCCCUGCGGGCACUGUGGGCUCUGCACCGCAUGAUCCACCCUGCUGUUGGAGAGCAGUGGAGGGUCAAGAUUCCCAUCCUGCUCUCGACUAUUGAAGCUUCAGGAAAUCCUGAGACCUCCCAGGACAAUGUGUGGUGGGAGCACCUGCUGCUGAAGUUCCUGAACAUGACACUGAAGAGCAU